AGAGUUUGAUCCUGGCUCAGAAUCAACGCUGGCGGCGCGCCUAACACAUGCAAGUCGAACGAGAAAGCCCGCAAGGGUGAGUAAAGUGGCGUACGGGUGAGUAACACGUGGAUAAUCUACCCUCUAGUGGGGAAUACCGUUGGGAAACCGACGACAAUACCGCAUAAGCUCGAGAGAGGAAAGCAGCAAUGCGCUGGAGGAGGAGUCCGCGGCUGAUUAGCUAGUUGGUGAGGUAAUGGCUCACCAAGACUCAGAUCAGUAGCCGGCCUGAGAGGGCACACGGCCACACUGGCACUGAAACACGGGCCAGACUCCUACGGGAGGCAGCAGUGGGGAAUCUUGCACAAUGGGGGAAACCCUGAUGCAGCGACGCCGCGUGAGCGAUGAAGCCCUUCGGGGUGUAAAGCUCUUUCGGCAGGGAAGAUUAUGACGGUACCUGCAGAAGCAGCUGCGGCUAACUACGUGCCAGCAGCCGCGGUAAUACGUAGGCAGCAAGCGUUGUUCGGAGUUACUGGGCGUAAAGGGUGUGUAGGCGGUUGGAUAAGUGUGGUGUGAAAUCUCCCGGCUUAACUGGGAGGGUGCGCUACAAACUGUCUGACUAGAGUGUGGGAUGGGAGAGUGGAAUUCCUGGUGUAGCGGUGAAAUGCGUAGAUAUCAGGAGGAACACCGGUGGUGUAGACGGCUCUCUGGACCAUAACUGACGCUGAGACACGAAAGCGUGGGUAGCAAACAGGAUUAGAUACCCUGGUAGUCCACGCCCUAAACGAUGCAUAUUUGGUGUGGGUCAUUCAUUUGAUCCGUGCCGGAGCUAACGCGUUAAAUAUGCCGCCUGGGGAGUACAGUCGCAAGGCUGAAACUCAAAGGAAUUGACGGGGGCCCGCACAAGCGGUGGAGCAUGUGGUUCAAUUCGACGCAACGCGAAGAAUCUUACCUAGGCUCGAACGGCUUUAGACAAUCCUUUGAAACAGGACUUCCCGCAAGGGACUGAAGUC
rnacentral:rRNA from 1 species